GGCGAAGUAGCUCAACGGUAGAGCAGUGGACUCAUAAGCCAUGUGUUGGGAGUUCGAUUCUCCCCUUCGCCA
rnacentral:tRNA from 1 species